AUAGUUAAAAAAUAAAAUAUGAUUUAACAAUGAAUAUUUUAAUUAUUUUAUUAAUUUAUUUCGUAAUAUGUUCAAGUCAAAAUUUAUCAUUGACAACUGAGAGAUCAACGACACACAAGACUAUUGCUAAACCACGAAAAACCUCUUCACAACAAAAUAUCGAUUUGAUUUGCAAUAGAACAACAACAACUAAAAGACCAGAAACUAAAAAACCAACAGUUACCACGAGAGUAAAAUUAAAUACCAAAAAUAAAUUAAAAAAACAAGAAGAAGAAGAACCACGGGGCUUUAUAGCAUCACGUGGAAAAUAGUGUCAUGAUAGCGAAUUAAAUAAAAAGGUGUUUGUUGGUUUAUCUGCCAGAUAAAUAUAAUCCAUAUACAGAAUCUGUCUGGUGUUCAAUAGUUUCUCUGAUCUUGUUGGAUACUUUUUAAUUUAUCCACUUUACCAAGAUAUAUCUUGAAAUAUUAUAAAACUACUUAACAUAUAUAUCCAUUUGUUAAGUCACUUUUAUUAU